rnacentral:rRNA from 1 species
GACGAACGCUGGCGGCGUGCUUAACACAUGCAAGUCGAACGGAAAGGCCCUGCUUUUGUGGGGUGCUCGAGUGGCGAACGGGUGAGUAACACGUGAGUAACCUGCCCUUGACUUUGGGAUAACUUCAGGAAACUGGGGCUAAUACCGGAUAGGAGCUCCUGCUGCAUGGUGGGGGUUGGAAAGUUUCGGCGGUUGGGGAUGGACUCGCGGCUUAUCAGCUUGUUGGUGGGGUAGUGGCUUACCAAGGCUUUGACGGGUAGCCGGCCUGAGAGGGUGACCGGCCACAUUGGGACUGAGAUACGGCCCAGACUCCUACGGGAGGCAGCAGUGGGGAAUAUUGCACAAUGGGCGGAAGCCUGAUGCAGCAACGCCGCGUGCGGGAUGACGGCCUUCGGGUUGUAAACCGCUUUCGCCUGUGGCGAAGCGUGAGUGACGGUAAUGGGUAAAGAGGCACCGGCUAACUACGUG